GGCAACAAUACCGAGAAAAUGUACGAAAUGUUGGCAGUGGACAAACUUUGGACCACAUGAGUUUAGAUGCAAGUGUAUCCCUGAGAAUGCACAAUUGUCUCCGCUGAGUUUCUUUCAAAGCAACAGCACCGUCCAGAGGUUCAUAGAAUUACCAAGUAACGGGGCAAUGACUCGACAUCACAACGAUUUGGAGCGAGGCAUACAAACAUAUCAACGUGUAGUAAUGAAGAAUGGCAGACCUGUUGAAACUGAAGAAUUCAGGUUUUAUUCAACCAAUUAAAGGAUACUGAAAAAUACAGAAAAUAUGUUUUUAAACCUUGUGUUGUGUUCAGAUACACCUAAGGUUCCCAGUCAAAAAUGACUGGCCUAUUAAAAAAUGCUUGUAAAUCACUUGUUAUGCUAUAAUAUCAACAACUAUUAGUUUCAAUCUUUUUGUCAAUGUGUUUUCUUUGAAUUAGGACUGGUUUUGUGUUUAUUUGUUGGUCAUAUUGGUUGUAUAGGCCUCAAUAAUCUUUUAGGAGUUUACACACCUUAGUUUUUGAGUGAAAAAAGCAUUACUUUAGAAUAAUUUUGACCCUAUUAAAAUACAGGGGGUACAAUUGCACAGAUUAUCACACUAGGGUGCUCUAAUGUUUAAUCAGGAAGUUUGCUUUGAAAAGUUGUUAUUUUGUACAAAAUUGCAACAACAGCAAACAUUUUCAACCUUCAACCACAUUUUAUGCACUUAUGAGGAUUGAUAUCUGUUGUGUAUUCCAAGUCAUUUAUGGAAUGAAAGUUCAUACUGUCUUGACAUGUUGCCUUAUAAGAGUUGCAAUAUAAACUUACAUUUUCUCCUUCACCUCCUUC